UUUGUCAUACUCGAUUUCCUAUGCAUAAUCAUUCCGAUAUAAAUAUUGAAACUUACAGCCACGCACAUUAUUGAUUGAGAAUUGAAAUACGCAAGAAUGAAAAUCUUGAUUGUGUUGGCCCUCGUUAUGGCUCUUACGCUGGUAGCCGUGGUCUAUGGGCAAUGCCCUAACUGUCAGCCGAAAGAUGAGAUGCCAGGACCCUAAAUAAACACAUUAAUAUUUAUAAUAUUCAAAUAUAUAUC